rnacentral:rRNA from 1 species
AUUGAACGCUGGCGGCAGGCCUAACACAUGCAAGUCGAACGAGUGGCGUACGGGUGAGUAAUGUCUGGGCAUCUUCCUGAUGGAUAGGGUUCACUACUGGAAACUGUUGCUAAUUCCGCCUACCAUCGGCUGUGCCCAGAUGGGAUUAGCUAGUGGGUGGGGUAAAGGCUCACCUAGGCGACGAUCCCUAGCUGGUCUGAGAGGAUGACCAGCAACACUGGAACUGAGACACGGUCCAGACUCCUACGGGAGGCAGCAGUGGGGAAUAUUGGACAAUGGGCGAAAGCCUGAUGCAGCCAUGCCGCGUGUAUGAAGAAGGCCUUCGGGUUGUAAAGUACUUUAAGCGGGGAGGCGUUACCCGCAGAAGAAGCACCGGCUAACUCCGUGCCAGCAGCCGCGGUAAUAC